rnacentral:rRNA from 1 species
CCUACGGGUGGCUGCAGUGGGGAAUAUUGGACAAUGGGGGCAACCCUGAUCCAGCCAUGCCGCGUGUGUGAAGAGGCCCUCGGGUUGUAAAGCACUUUCAGUGAGGAAGAACGCCUGGUGGUUAAUACCCAUCAGGAAAGACAUCACUCACAGAAGAAGCACCGGCUAACUCCGUGCCAGCAGCCGCGGUAAUACGGAGGGUGCGAGCGUUAAUCGGAAUUACUGGGCGUAAAGCGCGCGUAGGUGGCUUGAUAAGCCGGUUGUGAAAGCCCCGGGCUCAACCUGGGAACGGCAUCCGGAACUGUCAAGCUAGAGUGCAGGAGAGGAAGGUAGAAUUCCCGGUGUAGCGGUGAAAUGCGUAGAGAUCGGGAGGAAUACCAGUGGCGAAGGCGGCCUUCUGGACUGACACUGACACUGAGGUGCGAAAGCGUGGGUAGCAAACAGGAUUAGAUACCCCAGUAGUC